GCAGCAGCCGCGGGAAUACGUAGGGUGCGAGCGUUAAUCGGAAUUACUGGGCGUAAAGCGUGCGCAGGCGGUUCGUUAAGACAGAUGUGAAGUCCCCGGGCUUAACCUGGGAACUGCAUUUGUGACUGGCGAGCUAGAGUAUGGCAGAGGGGGGUAGAAUUCCACGUGUAGCAGUGAAAUGCGUAGAGAUGUGGAGGAAUACCGAUGGCGAAGGCAGCCCCCUGGGCCAAUACUGACGCUCAUGCACGAAAGCGUGGGGAGCAAACAGGAUUAGAUACCCCCGUAGUCCCUGUCUCUUAUAC
rnacentral:rRNA from 1 species